UUGACCUCGGAUCAGGUAGGGAUACCCGCUGAACUUAAGCAUAUCAAUAAGCGGAGGAAAAGAAACCAACCGGGAUUGCCUCAGUAACGGCGAGUGAAGCGGCAAGAGCUCAAAUUUGAAAGCUGGCCCCUCCGGGGUCCGCGUUGUAAUUUGCAGAGGAUGCUUCGGGUGCGGCCCCUGUCUAAGUGCCCUGGAACGGGCCGUCAGAGAGGGUGAGAAUCCCGUCUUGGGCAGGGUGCCCGUGCCCGUGUGAAGCUCCUUCGACGAGUCGAGUUGUUUGGGAAUGCAGCUCUAAAUGGGUGGUAAAUUUCAUCUAAAGCUAAAUACCGGCCGGAGACCGAUAGCGCACAAGUAGAGUGAUCGAAAGAUGAAAAGCACUUUGAAAAGAGAGUUAAACAGCACGUGAAAUUGUUGAAAGGGAAGCGCUUGCGACCAGACUCGGCCCCGGGGUUCAGCCAGCACUCGUGCUGGUGUACUUCCCCGGGGGCGGGCCAGCGUCGGUUUGGGCGGCCGGUCAAAGGCCCCAGGAAUGUAUCGCCCUCCGGGGUUGUCUUAUAGCCUGGGGUGCAAUGCGGCCAGCCCGGACCGAGGAACGCGCUUCGGCACGGACGCUGGCGUAAUGGUCGCAAACGACC
rnacentral:rRNA from 2 species